rnacentral:rRNA from 1 species
GAUGAACGCUGGCGGCGUGCCUAACACAUGCAAGUCGAACGGGAAUCUUCGGAUUCUAGUGGCGGACGGGUGAGUAACGCGUAAGAAUCUAACUUCAGGACGGGGACAACAGUUGGAAACGACUGCUAAUACCCGAUAUGCCGCAAGGUGAAACCUAAUUGGCCUGGAGAAGAGCUUGCGUCUGAUCAGCUAGUUGGUGGGGUAAGAGCCUACCAAGGCGACGAUCAGUAGCUGGUCUGAGAGGAUGAGCAGCCACACUGGGACUGAGACACGGCCCAGACUCCUACGGGAGGCAGCAGUGGGGGAAUUUUCCGCAAUGGGCGAAAGCCUGACGGAGCAACGCCGCGUGAGGGAGGAAGGUCUUUGGAUUGUAAACCUCUUUUCUCAAGGAAGAAGUUCUGACGGUACUUGAGGAAUCAGCCUCGGCUAACUCCGUGCCAGCAGCCGCGGUAAU